CCUACGGGAGGCAGCAGUGGGGAAUAUUGCACAAUGGGCGAAACCCUGAUCCAGCCACGCCGCGUGAGGGAAGACGGUUUUCUGAUUGUAAAAUUCUGUUCUUAGUGAAGAAUAAUGACGGUAGCUAAGUAGCAAGCCACGGCUAACUACGUGCCAGCAGCCGCGGUAAUACGUAGGAGGCAAGCGUUUUCCGGAAUUACUGGGUGUAAAGGGAGCGCAGGCGGGAAGCUAAGUCAGCUGUGAAAACUACGGGCUUAACUUGUAGACUGCAGUUGAAACUGGUUUUCUUGAGUGAAGUAGAGGUUGGCGGAAUGCCGGGUGGAGCGGUGAAAUGCGUAGAUAUUCGGAGGAACACCGGUGGCGAAGGCGGCCAACUGGGCUUUAACUGACGCUGAGGCUCGAAAGUGUGGGGAGCAAACAGGAUUAGAUACCCCGGUAGUC
rnacentral:rRNA from 1 species